rnacentral:rRNA from 1 species
CUGAGAGGAUGACCAGCCACACUGGAACUGAGACACGGUCCAGACUCCUACGGGAGGCAGCAGUGGGGAAUAUUGCACAAUGGGCGCAAGCCUGAUGCAGCCAUGCCGCGUGUAUGAAGAAGGCCUUCGGGUUGUAAAGUACUUUCAGCGGGGAGGAAGGGAGUAAAGUUAAUACCUUUGCUCAUUGACGUUACCCGCAGAAGAAGCACCGGCUAACUCCGUGCCAGCAGCCGCGGUAAUACGGAGGGUGCAAGCGUUAAUCGGAAUUACUGGGCGUAAAGCGCACGCAGGCGGUUUGUUAAGUCAGAUGUGAAAUCCCCG